rnacentral:rRNA from 1 species
UGUAAAAUUUUAAAGGUCGAACAGACCUAAUAUUCUAGCUUCUACACCAAAAAUUAAUUUUAAUCCAACAUCGAGGUCGCAAUCUUUUUUUUUAAUAUGAACUCUAUAAAAAAAUUACGCUGUUAUCCCUAAGGUAAUUUUAUCUUAUAAUCAAAAAUAUUGGRUCAUUUAUUCAUAAAUUUAUGUUUAAAAAUAAAAAAAAGUUUAUUAAAUUUUUCAAUCACCCCAAUUAAAUUAUUAAAUAAAAUAUAUAAAUAAAUACUAAAAUAUAAUUUUUAUUUAAUAAUCAAACUCUAUAGGGUCUUCUCGUCUUUUAAAUUCAAUUAAGCUUUUUAACUUAAAA